rnacentral:rRNA from 1 species
CCUACGGGGCGCAGCAGUGGGGAAUAUUGGGCAAUGGGGGAAACCCUGACCCAGCGACGCCGCGUGAGGGAAGAAGGUUUUCGGAUUGUAAACCUCUGUCCUUGGUGACGAUAAUGACGGUAGCCAAGGAGGAAGCCACGGCUAACUACGUGCCAGCAGCCGCGGUAAUACGUAGGUGGCGAGCGUUGUCCGGAUUUACUGGGCGUAAAGGGAGCGUAGGCGGACUUUUAAGUGAGAUGUGAAAUACUCGGGCUCAACUUGAGUGCUGCAUUUCAAACUGGAAGUCUAGAGUGCAGGAGA